GGGGAUGAUCGGUUUCGACGAUGUGAGUUGCCGUGUGGGAAGCGUGCCGAGGAAGCAAAGUCACCUCGUAAACGCCCUUUGCAACCAAUUAAGUGCCGAUUCUAAACGCACUGACUUCGCUCUCGCUGCCUAAGUAAACCAGCGAACGAGUCCGUCAGCCCAGGCAUCGCUAUCGUCCUGGAUCCUGGCGUCGAUUAGAUAGCCACUGUCUGUCGCCCCUGUCGGGGGAAGUGACAGAGACCUGAAACCGACUAGACCUAACAGUUGCUGGUCUGUGAGCCAACUGAGGUCGAUAAAACUCCGAGCAGACUGCGCACGGAGAAGCCUAGCGAAAGCCACAUCGGACCCGGGUUCAAUUCCCGGCAUCUCCACGC
rnacentral:tmRNA from 1 species